rnacentral:rRNA from 1 species
GACGAACGCUGGCGGCGUGCUUAACACAUGCAAGUCGAACGGUAAGGCCCUUCGGGGUACACGAGUGGCGAACGGGUGAGUAACACGUGGGUGAUCUGCCCUGCACUUCGGGAUAAGCCUGGGAAACUGGGUCUAAUACCGGAUAGGACCCUGGGAUGCAUGUCCUGGGGUGGAAAGCUUUUGCGGUGUGGGAUGGGCCCGCGGCCUAUCAGCUUGUGGGUGGGGUGAUGGCCUACCAAGGCGACGACGGGUAGCCGGCCUGAGAGGGCGACCGGCCACACUGGGACUGAGAUACGGCCCAGACUCCUACGGGAGGCAGCAGUGGGGAAUAUUGCACAAUGGGCGCAAGCCUGAUGCAGCGACGCCGCGUGAGGGAUGACGGCCUUCGGGUUGUAAACCUCUUUCAGCAUCGACGAAGCGAAAGUGACGGUAGGUGCAGAAGAAGGACCGGCCAACUACGUGCCAGCAGCCGCAGUAA